CACAGCUCUGGUCCUGUGUGAAGACACCAGGGGCUGACAGAGGUUCUUUAGCAGCAGCACCCCAGUGAAUCACUGCUAUGGAAACAGCCAGGAAUUCUGUGUAUGACAUCUGGAGAGCUUCCAAAGAGAGAGUACUGUACCUUCUUCUCUAGCUAUACAUCCAAGGAAACAUAAAUACUCUCCAAGUUCCCCAACUGGCCUGAGCUCUGCAGACCAGGGGCUGUGACAGAGUAGUACAGCAUGUAAGGACUGUAUCCUGUGGACCGCCCUUCCCUCUGGAUGGCUUCCUCCCCAUGUGCAGAGGUGACUCCUGGUGAGGCACUCAUCCAGCUGCUUCAGGCAGGACCAGCUGCGUUCCAAACCCGUGACUGCAGCAGCCAUGACCCCUCCGAAAGGAAAUCUGAGCCCGCGAGCAGUUGUGCUUGGGGAGGGCCGGGCUCUCACGUUUCUCUGUUUUGUUUUGGAGCCUCGGAUAAAUAGUGAGCUUGCUUUUUCCCUUCAUUUCUUUUCUUACUUUCUUACUUUCUUUUUUUUUUUUUUUCCUCUGAAUGUAUUUCCACAGCCUCAAAAAAAGGAAUUUUAAAAAG